rnacentral:piRNA from 1 species
UGACUUAUGAAACCCAAAAUAUUUGCUGCC